GCCGGGCGUGGUGGCUCACGCCUGUAGUCCCAGUACUUUGGGAGGCUGAGGCGGGCGGAUCACUUGAGGACAGGAGUUCAAGACCAGCCUGGCCAACAUGGUGAAACCCCGUCUCUA
rnacentral:SRP_RNA from 1 species